rnacentral:lncRNA from 10 species
AUUGGAUGCUCCACGAUCCUACUCUCAGGAGGCUCGUAUGCCAUAUGCCAUAACCAGAAGCUUGUGUGGAAGGCAGCACACAAGAUGGAAGGGGUGCAAGAACAGAGAGCUGGGAAGGAAGGUGAAGGGAAGAGAAUGAAGCACGAGAUACCCCAUGGCUUGGUGUGGAACUCUCCUAAAGACACAUUUGCCUUGUAGCCUUGCAUCCAGAGAUGUGAUGUGACCUCUCAAACCACGCUGGGACCGUCUGUGUUCUAGAGAGGCAGAGCAAUGCCCCCACAUGGUCAGCAGUGCACCCAACUGAAUGCUGGGCACCUUCUCAUUGCUUAAUUCUCCGUCCAGCUAGCAAGUACCUGAAGUGAUAAACCCGUGAGUGUUCUAACUGGUAGGUUCUUGUGGAAACCACGAAGCUCUCUAAACUACGGACAAGUACAUUUGUUCACUUCAAAUAUUCUCUUGCUAUUCCUUAUGGAAAGAACAUCUUUUUGGACCCUGGAAGACAGUUUGAAUAGAGGGAAGACAUCCUCAGCAGUCCGCAUGGAACACGUUGAUGAAAGUGCUGGGAGCAGCUCCCUGUUGUAGUGAUGCUGUGCCCUUGCAGGGGGGAUAGGAACAGUUGAUAGCUGUUCACAAGCCAUGCUGAGAGGUGGCAUGGCUCAUGGUAGAUCAGAUUCAGAGCCAGAGGGGCUCGGAAAUCACCUGGCCCAGCCCCUCAUCACAAGGUGAGGCAACCUGCAAGGGGUGAUCUAUUUUAGUCUUCAAAAGACAGCUAACCCACCACUGAUGCCUUGUUAAGCUAAGCCCAUGAUUAUUAGGAAGCCAAACAGGUUAAGUGGGACUUCGUCUGUUCCACCAAGCAGAGACCCAAUGUGAAAAUUUCUUGGUGUCUUCCUGACUGAUAUAAACAAAUGUGUACCCACAUUCUUUGACCCACUAAUUUUAAUUAAUUUGGUAGUCUUGAUUCAAGUACAUUUGACAAGGGAAGACAAAGACAAGAAUGUCUUUAUCAAUAUGAACUAUCACUACCAUUUUGGAAUAUUGGUCUAUUUCUCAUCUUUUUUCUCCCUCACACUAUUAAUGUCUAAAUAGGGGACUUGUGUUUCUAGGAUUAAAAAUAAUUCAAUUAUUGAUAUCUGUGUAUGAUCUCAGCCAAUAACUUGUCUAAAGGGAAUAUUUUAUUCCUGGGCUAAGAAUAUAUUUCUGUAUCCAAUGCACAUUUUUAAAACAUAAUUUUCAUUAAGAAAUAUUACACACAUGUAAAGAAAGUAUGGAAAACAUAAAUGUAUGCUUUAAUGAAUUAUUACAUGAACACUAAUGUAACUACUAUCUAGAUCAAGAUGUAAAAUGUUGUCAGUAUGUCUUCUGUCUAACCUCGUCCUGAUGUUAAUGUCUCCUAGCUAAACAUCACCAGGGGCACAAGUUGGGUUUACUAUUUGAAAAGAGAGAACAAAGACCAGGUGGAAUGGCAGAGCUUUCCAGCCGGAGGGUGUUAGAAAGAACCUAUUAUAGGAUUUGACUUGUGCUUGGUAAUUUGGGGUGGGGGGAAUCUAAGGAACUAGGACUGUCUUUGGAUUGGAUCUUCUCAGGAAAUAAGAGAAAAUUUUUAAUUUGAUGCCUCAGUAAGUCUUACCGAGAAAGACGAAGGACUAGAUCUAGGCUGAACCUGUAACUGGUAAAGAUGUAGCCGUCACUCACAUUAUCCAGGAGAAGGGGAUAUUUGCAGUUCUGUGGCUUGGAAAAUGUUCAUAUUUUGUCUGUGUUCAGAUGUGAUUGUUGGGGAAUCUUGUUUUUGCCUUAUUCCAUGACUGAUGUUGUCUGAUGCUGUCUGAUGCUGAUGUUCUCUGACUUGUUUGUCUUCAACAGGAGAGCACCAAGGGCUUACUCAAGGUACAAGGCCAGCCCCUGACCAUAAGGGCAGAAGAGGGUACCAUAUCCCCUUCCCAUGCCCCCCUUCCUGAGAGUAGGGAUGGACUAGCAACCACUGUGUCAUUUAAAUGUACCUUUUGUAAUGACAAGAAUUAAGGUAUUGAAAUUGUCUACUUGAUAGGGAUAGGUAAGUUUUUUUAAUCUCAUGUUCACAUUGAGGUUUUUUUUUCUCCUCCAGAUCAACAUCAAAACAAUUCUUCUUUUUCCUCAAUUGUUUAAUUAACUUCUGAAGAAGGCAUUUAAGGAUUAAAUAAUUAGAUGACAAUCACAAC